AAUAUUGCGCAAUGGAGGGAACUCUGACGCAGCGACGCCGCGUGAGCGAUGAAGGUUUUCGGAUCGUAACGCUCUGUCCUUGGGGAAGAGGGUCUUCGGACUUGACGGUACCUAAGGAGGAAGCCCCGGCUAACUACGUGCAAGCAGCCGCGGUAAUACGUAGGUGGCAAGCGUUGUCCGGAAUUAUUGGGCGUAAAGCGCGCGCAGGCGGUCUUUUAAGUCUGAUGUGAAAGCCCCCGGCUCAACCGGGGAGGGUCAUUGGAAACUGGGAGACUUGAGUGCAGAAGAGAAGAGUGGAAUUCCACGUGUAGCGGUGAAAUGCGUAGAGAUGUGGAGGAACACCAGUGGCGAAGGCGACUCUUUGGUCUGUAACUGACGCUGAGGCGCGAAAGCGUGGGGAGCGAAC
rnacentral:rRNA from 1 species